rnacentral:rRNA from 1 species
CUACGGGCGGCUCCAGUGGGGAAUAUUGGACAAUGGGGGAAACCCUGAUCCAGCAAUGCCGCGUGUGUGAAGAAGGCCUGCGGGUUGUAAAGCACUUUCGGUUGGGAGGACUGCUUCUAGCACUAAUAUUGUUGGAAGUUGACGUUACCUUCAGAAGAAGCACCGGCUAACUCCGUGCCGGCAGCCGCGGUAAUACGGAGGGUGCAAGCGCUAAUCGGAAUUACUGGGCGUAAAGCGCGCGUAGGCGGCUAGAUCAGUCGGGUGUGAAAGCCCCGGGCUUAACCUGGGAACUGCAUCCGAUACUGUCUAGCUUGAGUACAGGAGAGGAGAGUGGAAUUCCACAUGUAGCGGUGAAAUGCGUAGAUAUGUGGAGGAACACCAAUGGCGAAGGCAGCUCUCUGGCCUGAUACUGACGCUGAGGUGCGAAAGCGUGGGGAGCAAACAGGAUUAGAUACCCGGGUAGUC